UCCCAGCAGCGCAGCCACCCAUGCGCGCGCGCUCGCAAGACCACCAGCGCCCAGAGCCCCAGUCUGAGGCUUGGCGCCGGGGGUCUGCGGGCGAGGGGAGCUCUCUACGUGCGAGGGGCUAGCGGGAGCCGGCACAAGAGGGUCGAGGAGCCAGGAACCCCAAACGUCCGGCGCCAGGCGCUAGCCAAGCUGCUGCGCGCCCCGGCGCCCAGCUGGCUCGGGGACAGCCGCUGGGUGUCGGAGACCGGAGCUAGCGGAUUGCAGCGGAAAAGCAAAGCAAGGAAGUAACACGGGAGUCAGUUGCUUCAAACCAAAGCCCAGUUAUCAGCCGUUCGGUCUCUAGGCCACUGAGGAGCAGAGGGGAUGCCUUGAGACGUGCAAAAGACUUGGGGCCAGGUGGCCUGUGUUCACAUCCCAGCUCCACCAAUUAUGUACAAGAGAAUGGAAUGUCACACUGGAUCCUUGGCCUCCAGGGUCCAUUAAGGUGAGAAUAAGAUCUCUGGGCUGGCUGGAACUAGCCUAAAACUGAA
rnacentral:sRNA from 1 species